rnacentral:rRNA from 1 species
UACGGGGGGGGCAAGCGUUGUUCGGAAUUACUGGGCGUAAAGAGCUCGUAGGCGGCUGUUCAAGUCGAACGUGAAAACUCGGAGCUCAACUCCGAGCCUGCGUUCGAGACUGGAUGGCUAGAGUCUGGUAGGGGGAUCUGGAAUUCCUGGUGUAGCGGUGGAAUGCGCAGAUAUCAGGAGGAACACCGGUGGCGAAGGCGGGAUCCUGGGCCAGUACUGACGCUGAGGAGCGAAAGCGUGGGGAGCAAACAGG